rnacentral:snRNA from 1 species
GUGCUCGCUUCGGCAGCACAUAUGCUAAAAUUGGAAUGAUACAGAGAAGAUUAGCAUGGCCCCUGUGCAAGGAUGACAUGCAAAAUCGUGAGGCAUUCCAUAUUUUG